CGGCCACAAUCCCUGUGCUGAUACCAGAAACAAUAUCACUGAGCAACCAUUCUUUAAGCCGGUAUGCUGGCAACCAAGAUGCUAUGGGGAACAAAGAGAGGACAAUUCUCUUGGCCUUUUGUGGGGAACAGCUGAAAACAUGGAAAGCCACAGAUGAGUGAGCUCCGAACUGAAUGUUACCACCUUUUAAGAUCAAAAAAGGCAGGAUUAAGGGACCUAGAUUGCGUUUUGCGACAGCGAUGUUUUAUUCCAGUGAGCUGGACGUGGCUCUUUUAGGGAUUUUCAUGUACAUACCUCUCCACCACUUCAAGUUCCACCCAUUUCCAACCUGCAGACUGGCCUCCAGUUACGAGAACCUCCACUCUGCCUGCCCCGCUCUGCUGAGAAGUGUCUUUUGGCCCUGACCUUCCCACUCAGUGUUUAUCUAUUCUGUGAAAGACUUUUAGUCUUUCAGAGGUCUGCCCUUUUUGCUGGGAAACAACUAAUUUGAACCAAGAUGCUGAUGAGCGGUGUUAGGAUUUGUCUUUAAUUAGCGGUCAUUUGAAACCAGCAGACAAGCAAGGGUGCAGAACACUUCCCAGCCCCUCCGCAGUCACAUUAGAUGCCUCCACUCUUGGACAAGGCAGCUCCUAGCAGCAUCACCCCUUCAUAGCUGUUCAAGCUGAGGAAGGCCUUCGAUAGAGACAUCACUGAAAAUGCCAUACUGUGCCUGAAAUCUGCUGAAAACACAACUCACCUCAUGGAUCUCAAAAUAUCUCUGAGCCAGUCAGUGCAAAACCAGAGGU
rnacentral:lncRNA from 1 species